AUUAGCUAGAUGGUAAGGUAACGGCUUACCAUGGCUACGAUGUCUAGGGGUUCUGAGAGGAAGGUCCCCCACACUGGAACUGAGACACGGUCCAGACUCCUACGGGAGGCAGCAGUGAGGAAUAUUGGACAAUGGAUGGAAAUCUGAUCCAGCCAUGCCGCGUGCAGGAAGACGGCCCUAUGGGUUGUAAACUGCUUUUGUAUGGGAGCAAUAAGAUCUACGUGUAGAUUGAUGAGAGUACCAUACGAAUAAGCACCGGCUAACUCCGUGCCAGCAGCCGCGGUAAUACGGAGGGUGCAAGCGUUAUCCGGAUUUAUUGGGUUUAAAGGGUGCGUAGGCGGUUUGAUAAGUCAGCGGUGAAAUAUUUCAGCUUAACUGGAAGGGUGCCGUUGAUACUGUCGAGCUUGAAUUUAGUUGCUGUGGGUGGAAUGUGUGGUGUAGCGGUGAAAUGCAUAGAUAUCACACAGAAUAUCGAUUGCGAAGGCAGCUCACAAAGCUAAUAUUGACGCUGAUGCACGAAAGUGUGGGGAUCAAACAGGAUUAGAUACCCUGGUAGUCCACACUGUAAAC
rnacentral:rRNA from 1 species